GAUGAACGCUGGCGGCGUGCCUAAUACAUGCAAGUCGAGCGAACGGACGAGAAGCUUGCUUCUCUGAUGUUAGCGGCGGACGGGUGAGUAACACGUGGAUAACCUACCUAUAAGACUGGGAUAACUUCGGGAAACCGUAGCUAAUACCGGAUAAUAUUUUGAACCGCAUGGUUCAAAAGUGAAAGACGGUCUUGCUGUCACUUAUAGAUGGAUCCGCGCUGCAUUAGCUAGUUGGUAAGGUAACGGCUUACCAAGGCAACGAUGCAUAGCCGACCUGAGAGGGUGAUCGGCCGCACGGGAACUGAGACACGGUCCAGACGCCUACGGGAGGCAGCAGUAGGGAAUCUUCCGCAAUGGGCGAAAGCCUGACGGAGCAACGCCGCGUGAGUGAUGAAGGUCUUCGGAUCGUAAAACUCUGUUAUUAGGGAAGAACAUAUGUGUAAGUAACUGUGCACAUCUUGACGGUACCUAAUCAGAAAGCCACGGCUAACUACGUG
rnacentral:rRNA from 1 species